rnacentral:rRNA from 1 species
GUCGAGGUGACCUGCGGAAGGAUCAUUGUCGAUACCUGCCCAGCAGAACGACCCGCGAACAAGUUAUUUUUUCACAACAGGGAUGUUCCGGGCUUUUGGCUCGGUUCUUCCCUUGGGGAUUGGAUGUGGGGUCAACGGCCUUGUGUCGUUUUCUUCUGCCUUUCUCUACACAAACAAACCCCGGCGCUGGAUGCGCCAAGGAUUCCAAACCAAAAAAAGAAAGGAAAAAUCCCUCGUAGCACGAGCGGGUUUCUCCUCUUUGAUUAACCAAAACGACUCUCGGCAACGGAUAUCUCGGCUCUCGCAUCGAUGAAGAACGUAGCGAAAUGCGAUACUUGGUGUGAAUUGCAGAAUCCCGUGAACCAUCGAGUCUUUGAACGCAAGUUGCGCCCGAAGCCUUCGGGCUGAGGGCACGUCUGCCUGGGUGUCAUAUGCAUCGUUGCCCCAACCCAAUCAUUCCUUAGGGAAACUUGGUGGUGGGGCAGAGAUUGGUCUCCCGUGCGCUUCCGCUCGCGGUUGGCCCAAAUACGAGUUGCUGGCUGCGUGUGCCACAGCAAGCGGUGGUUUGAAUGUCCCUCGAUUGUUGCUGUGGGUAUAGCACGCGUCGGGUACGGCUCUGAGGCCUUAAUUUUCACAACAGCGACCCCAGGUCAGGCGGAACACCC